CUCUCCCACUGCAGGUGUCUCCGGAGUACAACUGUGUGUUUUUCCUGUGCUGUAAUGUAUGAGGGUUUCAGUGUACUUGACAUGCUGCUAAUAUAAACAAUGUCUUGUGUUUCUUGCUUUGUGAUGUUUGGAAAUAAAUAAAAGGCUUUUG